AAAUGCGUAGAGAUCUGGGAGGAAAUACCGGUGGCGAAAGGCGGCCCCCCUGGACGAAGACUGACGCUCAGGGUGCGAAAGCGUGGGGAGCAAACAGGAUUAGAUACCCCUGGUAGUCCACGCCGUAAACGAUGUCGACUUGGAGGUUGUGCCCUUGAGGCGUGGCUUCCGGAGCUAACGCGUUAAGUCGACCCGCCUGGGGAGUACGGCCGCAAGGUUUAAAACUCAAAUGAAUUGACGGGGGCCCGCACAAGCGGUGGAGCAUGUGGUUUAAUUCGAUGCAACGCGAAGAACCUUACCUGGUCUUGACAUCCACGGAAGUUUUCAGAGAUGAGAAUGUGCCUUCGGGAACCGUGAGACAGGUGCUGCAUGGCUGUCGUCAGCUCGUGUUGUGAAAUGUUGGGUUAAGUCCCGCAACGAGCGCAACCCUUAUCCUUUGUUGCCAGCGGUCCGGCCGGGAACUCAAAGGAGACUGCCAGUGAUAAACUGGAGGAAGGUGGGGAUGACGUCAAGUCAUCAUGGCCCUUACGACCAGGGCUACACACGUGCUACAAUGGCGCAUACAAAGAGAAGCGACCUCGCGAGAGCAAGCGGACCUCAUAAAGUGCGUCGUAGUCCGGAUUGGAGUCUGCAACUCGACUCCAUGAAGUCGGAAUCGCUAGUAAUAAGUGGAUCAGAAUGCCACGGUGAAUACGUUCCCCCUUCCUUUUCUCACCGCCCGUCACACCAUGGGAGGGGGGCCAAUAAGUAUUGUAGGUAGCUUAACCUACGGGAG
rnacentral:rRNA from 1 species